rnacentral:rRNA from 1 species
AUACGGAGGGUGCAAGCGUUGUUCGGAAUUACUGGGCGUAAAGCGCGCGUAGGCGGUCUGUUAUGUCAGAUGUGAAAGUCCUCGGCUCAACCGGGGAAGUGCAUUCGAAACUGGCAGACUUGAGUACUGGAGGGGGUGGUGGAAUUCCCGGUGUAGAGGUGAAAUUCGUAGAUAUCGGGAGGAAUACCGGUGGCGAAGGCGACCACCUGGCCAGAUACUGACGCUGAGGUGCGAAAGCGUGGGGAGCAAACAGGAUUAGAUACCCUAGUAGUCCC